UUACCAUUGAGGCCCAAUCAAUUACUAUUACACAUAAGAAAUCCAUUACAUUACUGACAAUAAUACAAUUAGAUCCGCUCUUCAUAGACAAACUUGGGAUAUGCAAUCACGGCAGGAAGAGGCAAUUGUCAUUUGAAAGGAAACAUCCCCACCUCAGAAGGGCGCCCCCCUUAUUUUAGUAGGCUCCCGCCUUCUUCUGGUACAAAGUUCUUUCUCCAAAUGUCCCAAGAAUGAAUGCUGCAUGGACAUCUUUAAUUGUUUGUUCAGCAAGAUUCCACAUGUCAAAAAACCUAAACCCAUGAUUUCACCUUGAAUAAAAUGUUUGUGUAUUCAUAUAUGAGGCUACACAUUAAUAACCUGCGCCCUUCUUCUCCGCUUCUCUUCCCAUCGCUUGUUGAAAACCUAAUCGAGGGAGAUUGCAGUGGCGGGAGGGUGAUUGCAGCGCGCAGGAGGGCAACAUCUCCCUUAUUCUUCUCCUCAGUUCGGACAGUGACUCUAUUCUUCUCUUGACUAGGUCAACUGUGGCUAAGCUCUCUUAAACUUACGUGUCCCCUGGGUAUGAAUCUUGAACUGGAACAGAGAGGAGAUGAUGCAGGAAAGCCUUUCGGAUGGGCAAAGGCAGGGCUGUAUUUAGCCCUAAGGUUGGGUUUAUUCAAGCCAUCGAACCAGCCUGUUUCAAGCCUGGCUAUUUCUGCCAAGAGUGCAUAUCGAGCCAGAAGGGAGUUUUGGGAUAUUGAGCUCAUAUUCUGUCCUGAUCGACCAGCAUUAUUUGGGAAAAAAUAAUAGUCAUUGCCAGCUGGUUUUUAGGAGAAUAUUUCCAGAUUUAUUUGGAGAUAUCGUCCAGCUCUAAAGGAGAAUGUUUUUCUAGAAUCCCAAUGAGCCCAUGGCCUGGUGUAUGGAGACAUAUUUGAAGGCCCAUAUACUUGUGCGUGGAGGUUUCUUUCCAAGGCAUAUUGAGCUGUCAAGUUGAUAUGGUUUAGGAGAGAUUUUAGUAUUUUAUUCAGUUACCUAAUUUAGAAGGAAAUUCAGGAUUCAGUUUUUGUUCCUUGUGUGCGGGUUUGUUGAUUUUUUUUUUUUUUUAUUAAUUAUAUUGCUUAUGUAAUUAGGACUCUUUAUUUAGAUUGGAUUUACAUUGGAAUGUUUCUAGAAGAUUUUAGGUUGUAAAUGAUUGAUUAUAAAUAAGGAGGGGGAUGAUAUUCAGCCAUGAUGGAUUUUGAAUAAAGAAGAAAAGCUUGUGCUUUGUGUGCUGUGAGAGAGUUUGGUGAGAUGUCAUUGUUGAGAGACCAAACAAAUGGUGAGAGGCCAUGGUUGACAGACCUGGGUCUGAGAGAGACUACCCUAUCCCCUUUCCCUAUUACCUAUCUUCUUCUUCCCCUUCUCUAUUUCUGUUGAAGACUGUUCAAGGAAGUGAUUUAAUUGCUGGACAUCAGUGUAUCGAUCCUCCUGUAGAGUUGGUUCUUAGCUGAACUAGCUCCUACAUUAAGAGAAGAGGCAGAGAAUAGAGGACCCUCUAACACCAACCCACUUCUGUGGCACUGUUUUGCAUUUCUGCAAACAAUAACGUAUGUGUUCUAAUUUUUGGGUUUUUUUCUUUCUCCUGUUGAUCGAUUGGGUUUGGUUUGAUGCCCAACGUAAUUGUUGGGUUUGCUAUUAUGAAUGUUUCUCAUCAGAUUUGAAGCCGUAGGAUGGACUUAGUUUCAAUAUCUUAUAUCUUAUAUUGGAAUUUUAGUAGUUAUGAGGGAUAUUUAAGCGACUCCUAUUCAGAUUUGUUGUAAGAGUGGGGUUUUCUAUUUCUGUAGAUCAGUGCUAUUGCAGACCUUUUAUAGAAAACAAUAUUUUCGUUUGAAUCUUCUUUGAAUCUACGACCUAGCUUGUUUGAACUUACUUAAAGGAGGAUUUAUCA